rnacentral:rRNA from 1 species
GUAACUGACGCUGAGCUCGAAGCGUGGGGAGCAAACAGGAUUAGAUACCUGGUAGUCACGCGUAAACGAUGAGUGCUAAGUGUUGGAGGGUUUCCCCCUUCAGUGCUGCAGCAAACGCAUUAAGCACUCCGCUGGGGAGUACGACCGCAAGGUUGAAACUCAAAGGAAUUGACGGGGGCCCGCACAAGCGGUGGAGCAUGUGGUUUAAUUCGAAGCAACGCGAAGAACCUUACCAGGUCUUGACAUCCUUUGACCACUCUAGAGAUAGAGCUUUCCCUUCGGGGACAAAGUGACAGGUGGUGCAUGGUUGUCGUCAGCUCGUGUCGUGAGAUGUUGGGUUAAGUCCCGCAACGAGCGCAACCCUUAUUGUUAGUUGCCAUCAUUUAGUUGGGCACUCUAGCGAGACUGCCGGUGACAAACCGGAGGAAGGUGGGGAUGACGUCAAAUCAUCAUGCCCCUUAUGACCUGGGCUACACACGUGCUACAAUGGGAAGUACAACGAGUCGCUAGGCCGCGAGGUCAUGCAAAUCUCUUAAAGCUUCUCUCAGUUCGGAUUGUAGGCUGCAACUCGCCUACAUGAAGCCGGAAUCGCUAGUAAUCGCGGAUCAGCACGCCGCGGUGAAUACGUUCCCGGGCCUUGUACACACCGCCCGUCACACCACGAAAGUUUGUAACACCCGAAGUCGGUGAGGUAACCUUUUGGAGCCAGCCGCCUAAGGUGGGAUAGAUGAUUGGGGUGAAGUCGUAACAAGGUAACCA